UUUUAAACAUAUAUUGGCUAAGAAGUCACAUAAGAACACCCAUAAAUUCAUUACCACUUUAAAAUAUAUUUACAAUUUUAAACGUCAGCAAUGUACAUUUGAAAAAUAGUCAAAACAUGAGCCUUCAUUCCCUUGGCAGCUGGUGCUUCGGCUAAGGUUGGGUUUGCAGGCUCCUUGUAGUCAUUUCUGCCAACAUAGAUUAGGAAGCAAAAGGUGAAAGUAAUUAUACCAAAAUGGGCUUCUUUUAAAAUACAAAUAACCCUGGUGGAAUAGCACCGCUAGCUGUUGCCUGUCAAUAACACCUUCCUGUGAAGUCUAUCAGCUUGCUGAGGUAGAGGGCAGAGAGCUAGACAGGUUAACAAGGGAGUUUGUUUCUUGGGGCAGG
rnacentral:lncRNA from 1 species